AAAAAUACAACGGAAACCAUAGAGAUAGGCGGCAAGAGUGAGCGGCCCAGAGACACUAAGAACGCCGGCCCGAGCCCUUGGGGAGUGCCUCCUAAUGGUAACCGAUAGCUCUACACUGUAGACCUAGGACUAGACAAUUACUUCGCUGAGCACGGGUAAUCAUUUGGGCUAACCAGUUCAUAAAAUAUUAUUGCUCAGUGCGUCCAGGCCUACACAUUUUUCUUUUUUUGCUUGGCACCAUUUGAUUUCUCUGCUCUCUCACCUACUUAAAAGGCAUUUUUUUCUUAGUCCAACUCUGUUUCUCGACUGAAUUAGAUCAGGGUUUGCUGUUGAUCGAGUGCAGAUGU
rnacentral:lncRNA from 1 species